rnacentral:rRNA from 1 species
UUGUUUGUUGACUAUUGUUUUCAUGUAUUUUUUUUUACUGAUGAUGUCCUAUUCAUUAUUUUAAAGUUUUAUUCUUGCUUGUUUAUUCACUUUUUCUUUGUAUUAUAUGCAAGUUUUGUUUUAACUAAAUGUUCUGUUUUGCAGUAAUUUAAUUUAAUUAUCAAGUGAUUUUGGAAUUAGCAAUUGACUUAGUGUCGGCAUAAUUCGUGCCAGCAGCCGCGGUUAUACGAUUGAUGCGAGUGAAUAUUUUUGGUUUAGCAGUUGUUUAUAUUGUUAUAGGGUUUGAAUUUGAAUUUAUAAGGUGAAAUUUGAAAUUUUUGUAUAUUUCUUUUUAAGAAUCUGUGAAAUUUAAAUAAUAAACUAGGAUUAGAUACCCUAUUAUUUUAAGUGUUAAUUAUACUUACCAGGGUAGUAUUAGUUAAAGUCUUAAAACCCAAAGAAUUUGGCGGUAUCUCAUUCCAUUCAGAGGAAUCUAUCCCAUAAUUGAUAGUACACGAUUAACUUUACUUAAUUUAUUUGUUUGUAUAUCUCCGUUAUCGGAAAAUCUUUUUAGAGUUAUAAUUUUCUAAAUUUAUAAUUAUAAAGUAUUUCAGGUCAAGGUGCAGCUUAUAAUUAAGAGGAGAUGGGUUACAAUAAAUUUUGGUUUAUAACGGAUUUAAUAUUGAAAUAUUGUUAAUGAAGGUGGAUUUGAUAGUAAUUUAAUAUAUUUAAUUUAAUUGAUAUUGGCUCUGAGGUGUGUACACAUCCCCCGUCGCUCUCAUUAUUAAUAUUUAUCAAUUAUUUUGUUGGUAAUAAUUAAGUUAGAUGAGAUAAGUCGUAACAUAGUAGAUGUACUGGAAAGUGUAUCUAGAAAGAGUUUC